CAGAGGGCAGCUACCCAGCGAUGGGUGCGAAUCUCGAAAGCCUAUCUCAGUUCGGAUUGGAGGCUGAAACCCGCCUCCAUGAAGUUGGAUUCGCUAGUAAUCGCGCAUCAGCCAUGGCGCGGUGAAUACGUUCCCGGGCCUUGUACACACCGCCCGUCAAGCCAUGGGAGCCGGGGGCGCCUGAAGUCCGGGACCGCGAGGACCGGCCUAGGGCGAAACUGGUAACUGGGGCUAAGUCGUAACAAGGUAAC
rnacentral:rRNA from 1 species